rnacentral:rRNA from 1 species
AACGCGAAGAACCUUACCUGGGCUUGAACCGCUACUGACCAACGGUAGAAAUAUCGUCUUCCCGCAAGGGACAGUAGUAGAGGUGCUGCAUGGCUGUCGUCAGCUCGUGCCGUGAGGUGUUGGGUUAAGUCCCGCAACGAGCGCAACCCUUAUUCGUAGUUGCCACCCGCAAGGGGGAACUCUACGAGGACUGCUCCGGAUAACGGAGAGGAAGGUGGGGAUGACGUCAAGUCAGCACGGCCUUUAUGUCCAGGGCUACACACGUGUUACAAUGCGCGGCACAGACUGUUGCGAACCCGCGAGGGGGAGCUAAUCGGAAAAAACCGCGCUCAGUUCGGAUUGCAGUCUGCAACUCGACUGCAUGAAGCUGGAAUCGCUAGUAAUGGCGUAUCAGAUCGACGCCGUGAAUACGUUCCCGGGCCUUGUACACACCGACGCGUA